rnacentral:rRNA from 1 species
CAGCAGCCGCGGUAAAACGUAGGGUGCAAGCGUUAAUCGGAAUUACUGGGCGUAAAGCGUGCGCAGGCGGUGUUGUAAGACUGAUGUGAAAUCCCCGGGCUCAACCUGGGAACUGCAUUGGUGACUGCAACGCUGGAGUGCGGCAGAGGGGGAUGGAAUUCCGCGUGUAGCAGUGAAAUGCGUAGAUAUGCGGAGGAACACCGAUGGCGAAGGCAAUCCCCUGGGCCUGCACUGACGCUCAUGCACGAAAGCGUGGGGAGCAAACAGGAUUAGAUACCCCCGUAGUCUCUGUCUCUUAUAC